GGCAACGUUGCGCAGCGGUGCGCCCCGGUCCCAUGUAGUAAUAUUUUGAAUCUGAAAUAGUUACAAUACUCAAUCCGGAGUCCGCUUGUUCGAUUCAAGCCGUUGCUU